ensembl:misc_RNA 7SK 7SK RNA
GGAUGUGAGGGCGAUCUGGCUGCGACAUCUGUCACCCCAUUGAUUGCCAGGGUUGAUUCGGCCGAUCUGGCUGGCCAGGCAGGUAGCCCCUUCCUCCCUCACCCCUCCACGUGCAUCCUUCCCGGAGCUACAUAUGUGGUCAAAGAGGACGACCACCCCUGACAGAGAAGGACUGUUUCCUCGGCCAAGGGUAUGAGUAGCUGUGCUCCCCUGCUAGAACCUCCAAACAGCUCUCAGGAAACUAAAUUGACAUUUGCCCAAGCAGAACAGGUAGAAGCCUGAUGGUCCCCUUCCAUCCCAGUGAUUUGACUUUG